rnacentral:rRNA from 1 species
GCGGCAAGAGCUCAAAUUUGAAAUCUGGCCUCCUUCGGGGGUCCGAGUUGUAAUUUGUAGAGGAUGCUUCGGGUGUGGCCGCCGUCUAAGUUCCUUGGAACAGGACGUCAGAGAGGGUGAGAAUCCCGUCUUGGGCGGCUGGUCCGCGCCCGUGUGAAGCUCCUUCGACGAGUCGAGUUGUUUGGGAAUGCAGCUCUAAGCGGGUGGUAAAUUUCAUCUAAAGCUAAAUACUGGUCGGAGACCGAUAGCGCACAAGUAGAGUGAUCGAAAGGUUAAAAGCACCUUGAAAAGGGAGUUAAACAGCACGUGAAAUUGUUGAAAGGGAAGCGCUUGCGGCCAGACUCGGGGGCGGGGUUCAGCGGGUGCUCGUCGCCCGUGCACUCCCCGUCUCCCGGGCCAGCAUCAGUUUCGACGGCCGGUCAAAGGCCCCCGGAAUGUGUCGUCUCUCGGGACGUCUUAUAGCCGGGGGUGCAAUGCGGCCCGUUGGGACUGAGGAACGCGCU